ensembl:lncRNA EPIC1 epigenetically induced MYC interacting lncRNA 1
UCAGUCCGCCAUUGCAAACACGAAGCUCUUCCAGAAACGCCCUCACAGACACCCCGGAAGUCACGUACCCACUCUGUAGGUGCCCCGGGGCACAGGCAAGCGGACGAGCCAGUUAUCCCUCAGAGCUCCUGCUGCCUCGCCCGCUUUCUCUCGGAAACGUGAAGUGUGGCCUCAGCUGAAAGUGAGGUGGGCCUCAUUCAAUCAGUUGAAUUCUUCAAGAGAGAAAAACUGAAGUCCCUUAGAAGGAAAGAGUUCUGCCUUCAGACUGUCUUUGAACUUAAGACUGUAGCGUCGACUCCUGCCGGAAUUUCCAGCCUGCUGGCCAGCUCUGCAGAUUCACACUUGCCAGCCUCCACAAUCGUGGUGAAGCAGUGAUGUACGGCUAUUUGGCAGUGAAUUAGAGUCCCAGGUCAGCUUGAGUGUGGCUGUGAGAGGAGCUGUGGCUCUGGGUGGCAUGUUCCCCUGCACCUUGGACGUCAUGCUCCUGGGGCAGAGCAUCCAGAACUGACUAAGACAGAGAGGAACAUAAAUUGAGCAGGAAAGGGAAUUGCUAUGAACUGACUGUGAGUGUCUCCCCCAAAAUUCAUAUGCUGAAGCUCUAAUUCCCAAGGAAGGCAGCCAUCUGUGAGCCAGAAAGUGAGCCCUCACCUGAUGGCCAAGCCUGCUGAUGCUUUGGUUUUGGACUUUCCAGCCUCCAGAAUGUUCCUGGAUUUGAAACUGAAGAAGCAAGCAAUCUGGAAAUGUCAGUGGAUGCACACAAAGAAACAACCGCAAAAGCCUGCUCGCUCUAGCCAAGGGACAAGAAUAGGGGCAGUCCAUCAAGACAGAAUCCUUUUAAAAAAUAACCACUCCACUCCAGCAAUACCACAGAAGAAUCUGGCUGUACCCCAGGAGAGGUGAAAGGGGGAGAGGCUGAAAAGUACAUGAAGAAAUAAUGGCUGAAAAUGACCCAAAUUGUUAAGAUACAUAAACCUGCAGAUUCAAGAAGCUGAAAGAUGCUCCAACAGGAUAAACCUAAAGAAAUCUAUGCCAACAUGCAUCAUAAUUAAACUUCUGCAAAGCAAAAAACAAAACAUUUCUGAAAACAGCCAGGGGAAAAGAACACCCAACCUGGAAGGGAAAAACAAUUCGAAUGACAGUGGAUUUGUCAUCAGAAACCAUGGAAGCCAGGAGGAAAUGACACAAUAUUUUUCAGCUACUAAGAGCAAAAAACUGUCAUCCCAAAAUUCUAUACCCAUAAAAAUAUCUUUCAAGAAGGAAGGAGAAAUGAAGACAUUCUCAGAUGAAGGAAAACUGAGAGAAUGUAUCAGCAGCAGACCUAUCCUAACAAAAUAGCUAAAAAGAGUUCUCUAAACAGAAAGGAAAUGAUAAAAAGGAACCUUACAACAUCAAGAAGAAAAAAUGAUGAGCAAA